GGGGAUGUAGUGUAGUUUGGUUAACACGUUGCCCUGUCAAGGCAGAGACCACGGGUUCAAAUCCCGUCAUCCCCG
rnacentral:tRNA from 1 species